rnacentral:lncRNA from 1 species
AUGGUUGCUGUGGGUGUCAUCAAAGCAGUGGACAAGGAGACAGCUGGAGCUGGCAAGGUCACCAAGUCUGAAAGCUCAGAAGGCUAAAUGGAUAUUAUCCCUGAUACCGCCACUGGGGUCUUCAUGAGUGGAAGAACAUCCCAGAACUGGCCAUUGAAGUUUAAUAAUAAAAGAAUGAUUCGUGAUAGUCAUCGUAAAACUGUCAGAAGUGAUUUAACAUGGCCCUUUAAAAAAUGCCUUGGAAGACGUGUCCACCAGCUGCUAGAUCAGAUACACGUUUUUCUUCAUCAGCUGAAGCACCAACAUCCUGGUCAAGCAUGGAUCGGCCUGGAUGGCUCCCAUUGGACAUUCCACUCCAGCUCAACCCCAGCAUCUCUUCCAGACAUGAUCCUGGUAUUUGUCCUCCAGCAUUUGCUACCUAGCACUUGGGUAAGAGAUGCUUCUAACCACCACCCCCACCACCACCACCACACACACACAUACACCAGUCUUUCAGCAUCUAUGCCAAGGGAAACUGGAAAGUUUCCAGUCUUAUCUCCUUCUGAUCUAUCCUCACUGAAGCCAGAUUCCUCUCUCUAA